UACGGGGGGGGCAAGCGUUGUUCGGAAUUACUGGGCGUAAAGGGGACGUAGGCGGCCAACUAAGUCCGACGUGAAAUCCCAAGGCUUAACCUUGGAACUGCGUCGGAUACUGGAUGGCUUGAAUUCGGGAGAGGGAUGCAGAAUUCCAGGUGUAGCGGUGAAAUGCGUAGAUAUCUGGAGGAAUACCGGUGGCGAAGGCGGCAUCCUGGACCAUAACUGACGCUGAGGCGCGAAAGCUAGGGGAGCAAACGGG
rnacentral:rRNA from 1 species